rnacentral:rRNA from 1 species
GGUGGCCAUUUUAUUUUAUUAGAGGAACCUGUCUUUUAAUCGAUACCCCACGAUAAUUCUUACUUUUUGUUAUAUCUUAUAUACCUCCAUCCAAAGGACUAAUAUUAAACAUUUUACCCUAAAGAAAUUUUUAAUAAGUUAGGUAAAGGUGUAGAACAUAAAAAAGUUAAGAUGGGUUACUAUAAAUUUAAUUUAAGGAUAAUUUAUGAAAAUCAAUAUUGAAAAAGGAUUUAUAAGUAUUUGUAAAAUAAUAUUUUCCAUUGAAAAAGUUAAAAAUGUGCACACAUCGCCCGUCGCUCUU